AUUGAACGCUGGCGGCAUGCCUUACACAUGCAAGUCGAACGGCAGCACGGGAGCAAUCCUGGUGGCGAGUGGCGAACGGGUGAGUAAUAUAUCGGAACGUGCCCAGUCGUGGGGAUAACGUAGCGAAAGCUACGCUAAUACCGCAUACGAUCUAUGGAUGAAAGCGGGGGAUCGCAAGACCUCGCGCGAUUGGAGCGGCCGAUAUCAGAUUAGGUAGUUGGUGAGGUAAAGGCUCACCAAGCCGACGAUCUGUAGCUGGUCUGAGAGGACGACCAGCCACACUGGGACUGAGACACGGCCCAGACUCCUACGGAGGCAGCAGUGGGGAAUUUUUGGGACAAUGGGCGCAAGCCUGAUCCAGCCAUUCCGCGUGCAGGAUGAAGGCCCUCGGGUUGUAAACUGCUUUUGUACGGACGAAAAGGUUUGUCUUAAUACGAUGAGCUCAUGACGGUACCGUAAGAAUAAGCACCGGCUAACUACGUAGCC
rnacentral:rRNA from 1 species